UGCCAGCCGCCGCGGUAAUACGGAGGGUGCAAGCGUUAAUCGGGAUUACUGGGCGUAAAGCGCGCGUAGGUGGUUUGGUCAGUUGGAUGUGAAAGCCCCGGGCUUAACCUGGGAACUGCAUUCAAUACUGCCAGACUAGAGUAUGAGAGAGGGGGGUAGAAUUCCUAGUGUAGCGGUGAAAUGCGUAGAUAUUAGGAGGAAUACCAGUGGCGAAGGCGGCCCCCUGGCUUAAUACUGACGCUGAGGUGCGAAAGCGUGGGUAGCGAACAGGAUUAGAUA
rnacentral:rRNA from 1 species